rnacentral:rRNA from 1 species
CCGCUAUUGGAGUUCGAUUAAGCCAUGCGAGUCGAGAGUCUUAGGGACUCGGCGUACCGCUCAGUAACACGUGGGUAACCUGCCCUAUGCUGGGGAAUAACCUCGGGAAACUGAGAAUAAUGCCCCAUAGUCCACAAUGCCUGGAACGGUUUGUGGAUCAAAGCUCCGGCGGCAUAGGAUGGGCCUGCGGCGUAUCAGGUUGUAGGGGGUGUAACGUACCCUCUAGCCAUCAACGCGUACGGGUGUUGGGAGACAUAGCCCGGAGAUGGAUUCUGAGACACGAAUCCAGACCCUACGGGGUGCAGCAGGCGCGAAAACUUGGCAAUGCGAGAAAUCGUGACCAGGGAACUCCAAGUGGCUGGGGUAAGACCCAGUCUCUUCUUGACUCUUCAAAGGUCUUGGAAUAAGGGGUGGGUAAGGACGGUGCCAGCCGCCGCGGUAAUACCGGCGCCUCAAGUGGUAGUCGAUUUUAUUGGGCCUAAAACGUCCGUAGCCUGUUUGGUACAUUCGUGGGUAAAUCAAACCAGCUCAACUGGUUGAAUUCUGCGAGCACGGCCAGACUUGGGACCGGGAGAGGUGUGGGGUACGCUCAGGGUAGGGGUAAAAUCCUGUCAUCCUGAGCGGACCACCUGUUGCGAAGGCGCCACACUAGAACGGAUCCGACGGUCAGGGACGAAGCCUAGGGGCACGAACCGGAUUAGAUACCCGGGUAGUCCUAGGUGUAAACGCUGUGGACUUGGUGUUGGGGACUCUCCGAGAAUCCUCAGUGCCGAAGCGAAGGUGAUAAGUCCACUGCCUGGGGAGUACGGUCGCAAGGCUGAAACUUAAAGGAAUUGGCGGGGGAGCACCGCAACCUGAGGAUUGUGCGG